rnacentral:lncRNA from 1 species
GAAGCGGCCAACCCGCAUUCCCUUCCUCUGCUGCACUUUCCCUUUCAAGGUUCUCAGGGUAAUUAGUGCCUUGCUAAUGACACACCUUUCCAGCGCCUGCCCAGGUGCAAGGAAGCGAUUGCUCAUUCCAGGCCGAGGCCGUGUCCUCACAAGCCGAGGGGAAGCGGCUCAAGCGCCGGCGGCGCAGCGGGGAGAAGCGGGCCGACGUCGCUCGGGGUGCGCCCGGGGCCGUCCCUCGCUCCCUCUCCUCCGCCCAUCCCUGCUUCGCCCCUGCCGGGACACUCAGCCCGCGACUGCGCUUCUUCCUUCUCGGCGCCGCUGUACAUCUGCCGGGAAAUAUGUGGAGGGCGGACGGGUGAAUCAUCUGCUGCACCAUGUAAGAUCAGCUGCCAGUCCAGUUUGUUCCUCAAGGCAUAGCUCGAGGAGUCUGUUAGAUUCCAUCUACAUUAUACGGAACCAGGAAUUACAUGCCUUAAAAACUGCUGGGCUCUGCACUGAAUUUAUGCCAAGUUCAACCCUGAAUGCCUAGACUGAGGUGGAUUGAUUGAUCCCUCAAUAAGAAUCCCAUGGAUCAGGUCUGCAUCCUUUCUAACAGAAUGAUGCUUCAUCAGCCCCAUAUUUCAGCUCCAUAAAAGAGGGAAGGAAUAACUUUGACACACUAAAUCCUAAGAACUGAAGUUACAGAAGCAGGAUGUUUUCAAGAAUGGCAGAAGAACAUGCAGAUAAUUUGUCAAGCAUCAUGAUGGGACUCGACAAGUCAACAAUAAUUAUGAUUUUAUCACCAGAUCAUCUAGAGAUGCACACACAACUUUCGCAUGAAUGAAUAUAUUUGCUCCCUAAUCAAUCAAUCUAUUAAUUAAAACCCUUCCCCUAUGAAGGACUGACUACAGUCAGAAAACAUACACGUGAUGCUGCACUAUUUGCAUUAAAGGUCUUUAAAGCAACAGAAUUGUAGCUUCAUACUAUCGGACUUUUCUAUGUAGAAGACAAAGAAAUUUAACCCAUUUUAUAUAUCUUUUAAACUUUUUAAUUUAAUUCUGUUAUUUUAACUUUUGUGGAUCUGUUUUAUUGAUUUUGUAAUACUCCUGGAUCUGAUGACUAGAAUUUGUAAUUUGCACUCUUUCACACACAUAUACACACACACUAUUCAUGUCAGCUUGGACGUAAAUUCAGAAGAGUUCAGUGGCACUUCCUCCUAACUAUGUGUGCUAGGAAAUGAAGUCUUAGGCCACGAACACACACAGUUCCAAUUAGACAUCUCUUUGUGAUAACCUCUCCUUUUCUGAGGGCCCCCACAAAAACCUUAUCCACAACACAGUGAAAAGAGUUGGCACAACAGAUACACACAAACCAGCCCAUUUGUAAAUUCUAGUCAGUUCAC